rnacentral:rRNA from 1 species
GAUGAACGCUGGCGGCGUGCCUAAUACAUGCAAGUCGAGCGAACAGACGAGGAGCUUGCUCCUCUGACGUUAGCGGCGGACGGGUGAGUAACACGUGGAUAACCUACCUAUAAGACUGGGAUAACUUCGGGAAACCGGAGCUAAUACCGGAUAAUAUAUUGAACCGCAUGGUUCAAUAGUGAAAGACGGUUUUGCUGUCACUUAUAGAUGGAUCCGCGCCGCAUUAGCUAGUUGGUAAGGUAACGGCUUACCAAGGCAACGAUGCGUAGCCGACCUGAGAGGGUGAUCGGCCACACUGGAACUGAGACACGGUACAGACUCCUACGGGAGGCAGCAGUAGGGAAUAUUCCGCAAUGGGCGAAAGCCUGACGGAGCAACGCCGCGUGAGUGAUGAAGGUCUUCGGAUCGUAAAACUCUGUUAUUAGGGAAGAACAAAUGUGUAAGUAACUAUGCACGUCUUGACGGUACCUAAUCAGAAAGCCACGGCUAACUACGUG